rnacentral:rRNA from 1 species
ACGGAAGGCAGCAGUGGGGAAUAUUGCAUAAUGGGGGAAACCCUGAUGCAGCGACGCCGCGUGGGUGAAGAAGUUUUUCGGAAUGUAAAGCCCUAUCAGCAGGGAAGAUAAUGACGGUACCUGACUAAGAAGCCCCGGCUAACUACGUGCCAGCAGCCGCGGUAAUACGUAGGGGGCAAGCGUUAUCCGGAUUUACUGGUGUAAAGGGAGCGUAGACGGAAUAGCAAGUCUGAAGUGAAAUGUAGGGGCUUAACCCCUGAACUGCUUUGGAAACUGUUGAUCUUGAGUACCGGAGGGGCAAGCGGAAUUCCUGGUGUAGCGGUGAAAUGCGUAGAUAUCAGGAAGAACACCGGUGGCGAAGGCGGCUUGCUGGACGGUAACUGACGUUGAGGCUCGAAAGCGUGGGGAGCAAACAGGAUUAGAUACCCUGGUA